rnacentral:rRNA from 1 species
GGUUAAGCGACUAAGCGUACACGGUGGAUGCCCUGGCAGUCAGAGGCGAUGAAGGACGUGCUAAUCUGCGAUAAGCGUCGGUAAGGUGAUAUGAACCGUUAUAACCGGCGAUUUCCGAAUGGGGAAACCCAGUGUGAUUCGUCACACUAUCAUUAACUGAAUCCAUAGGUUAAUGAGGCGAACCGGGGGAACUGAAACAUCUAAGUACCCCGAGGAAAAGAAAUCAACCGAGAUUCCCCCAGUAGCGGCGAGCGAACGGGGAGCAGCCCAGAGCCUGAAUCAGUGUGUGUGUUAGUGGAAGCGUCUGGAAAGGCGCGCGAUACAGGGUGACAGCCCCGUACACAAAAAUGCACAUGCUGUGAGCUCGAUGAGUAGGGCGGGACACGUGGUAUCCUGUCUGAAUAUGGGGGGACCAUCCUCCAAGGCUAAAUACUCCUGACUGACCGAUAGUGAACCAGUACCGUGAGGGAAAGGCGAAAAGAACCCCGGCGAGGGGAGUGAAAAAGAACCUGAAACCGUGUACGUACAAGCAGUGGGAGCACGCUUAGGCGUGUGACUGCGUACCUUUUGUAUAAUGGGUCAGCGACUUAUAUUCUGUAGCAAGGUUAACCGAAUAGGGGAGCCGAAGGGAAACCGAGUCUUAACUGGGCGUUAAGUUGCAGGGUAUAGACCCGAAACCCGGUGAUCUAGCCAUGGGCAGGUUGAAGGUUGGGUAACACUAACUGGAGGACCGAACCGACUAAUGUUGAAAAAUUAGCGGAUGACUUGUGGCUGGGGGUGAAAGGCCAAUCAAACCGGGAGAUAGCUGGUUCUCCCCGAAAGCUAUUUAGGUAGCGCCUCGUGAAUUCAUCUCCGGGGGUAGAGCACUGUUUCGGCAAGGGGGUCAUCCCGACUUACCAACCCGAUGCAAACUGCGAAUACCGGAGAAUGUUAUCACGGGAGACACACGGCGGGUGCUAACGUCCGUCGUGAAGAGGGAAACAACCCAGACCGCCAGCUAAGGUCCCAAAGUCAUGGUUAAGUGGGAAACGAUGUGGGAAGGCCCAGACAGCCAGGAUGUUGGCUUAGAAGCAGCCAUCAUUUAAAGAAAGCGUAAUAGCUCACUGGUCGAGUCGGCCUGCGCGGAAGAUGUAACGGGGCUAAACCAUGCACCGAAGCUGCGGCAGCGACGCUGAUGCGUUGUUGGGUAGGGGAGCGUUCUGUAAGCCUGCGAAGGUGUGCUGUGAGGCAUGCUGGAGGUAUCAGAAGUGCGAAUGCUGACAUAAGUAACGAUAAAGCGGGUGAAAAGCCCGCUCGCCGGAAGACCAAGGGUUCCUGUCCAACGUUAAUCGGGGCAGGGUGAGUCGACCCCUAAGGCGAGGCCGAAAGGCGUAGUCGAUGGGAAACAGGUUAAUAUUCCUGUACUUGGUGUUACUGCGAAGGGGGGACGGAGAAGGCUAUGUUGGCCGGGCGACGGUUGUCCCGGUUUAAGCGUGUAGGCUGGUUUUCCAGGCAAAUCCGGAAAAUCAAGGCUGAGGCGUGAUGACGAGGCACUACGGUGCUGAAGCAACAAAUGCCCUGCUUCCAGGAAAAGCCUCUAAGCAUCAGGUAACAUCAAAUCGUACCCCAAACCGACACAGGUGGUCAGGUAGAGAAUACCAAGGCGCUUGAGAGAACUCGGGUGAAGGAACUAGGCAAAAUGGUGCCGUAACUUCGGGAGAAGGCACGCUGAUAUGUAGGUGAAGUCCCUCGCGGAUGGAGCUGAAAUCAGUCGAAGAUACCAGCUGGCUGCAACUGUUUAUUAAAAACACAGCACUGUGCAAACACGAAAGUGGACGUAUACGGUGUGACGCCUGCCCGGUGCCGGAAGGUUAAUUGAUGGGGUUAGCGCAAGCGAAGCUCUUGAUCGAAGCCCCGGUAAACGGCGGCCGUAACUAUAACGGUCCUAAGGUAGCGAAAUUCCUUGUCGGGUAAGUUCCGACCUGCACGAAUGGCGUAAUGAUGGCCAGGCUGUCUCCACCCGAGACUCAGUGAAAUUGAACUCGCUGUGAAGAUGCAGUGUACCCGCGGCAAGACGGAAAGACCCCGUGAACCUUUACUAUAGCUUGACACUGAACAUUGAGCCUUGAUGUGUAGGAUAGGUGGGAGGCUUUGAAGUGUGGACGCCAGUCUGCAUGGAGCCGACCUUGAAAUACCACCCUUUAAUGUUUGAUGUUCUAACGUGGACCCGUGAUCCGGGUUGCGGACAGUGUCUGGUGGGUAGUUUGACUGGGGCGGUCUCCUCCUAAAGAGUAACGGAGGAGCACGAAGGUUGGCUAAUCCUGGUCGGACAUCAGGAGGUUAGUGCAAUGGCAUAAGCCAGCUUGACUGCGAGCGUGACGGCGCGAGCAGGUGCGAAAGCAGGUCAUAGUGAUCCGGUGGUUCUGAAUGGAAGGGCCAUCGCUCAACGGAUAAAAGGUACUCCGGGGAUAACAGGCUGAUACCGCCCAAGAGUUCAUAUCGACGGCGGUGUUUGGCACCUCGAUGUCGGCUCAUCACAUCCUGGGGCUGAAGUAGGUCCCAAGGGUAUGGCUGUUCGCCAUUUAAAGUGGUACGCGAGCUGGGUUUAGAACGUCGUGAGACAGUUCGGUCCCUAUCUGCCGUGGGCGCUGGAGAACUGAGGGGGGCUGCUCCUAGUACGAGAGGACCGGAGUGGACGCAUCACUGGUGUUCGGGUUGUCAUGCCAAUGGCACUGCCCGGUAGCUAAAUGCGGAAGAGAUAAGUGCUGAAAGCAUCUAAGCACGAAACUUGCCCCGAGAUGAGUUCUCCCUGACUCCUUGAGAGUCCUGAAGGAACGUUGAAGACGACGACGUUGAUAGGCCGGGUGUGUAAGCGCAGCGAUGCGUUGAGCUAACCGGUACUAAUGAACCGUGAGGCUUAACCUU